CACGCGCUCACGCACACAUAUGCAUCAAACUACGCUCAUUUUCGUUAGUAUGUCACGAGACUUCAUACAGUAACUUUGCUUAUAAAAUGCCGUCUUGUGUGAUUAAAUGGUGCAAAAACAAUACCAAAGUAAACAAAAAAUCUGAAGGAAUAUCGUUUCACACGUUUCCAACGAAUAUUUUAAUAAGAGGUGAAUGGGUAGCGGCUGUAAGACUGAGAAAAUGACCACGAUUAUGCUGGCCAUGCGCA
rnacentral:misc_RNA from 1 species